UACAGAGGAUGCAAGCGUUAUCCGGAAUGAUUGGGCGUAAAGCGUCUGUAGGUGGCUUUUUAAGUCCGCCGUCAAAUCCCAGGGCUCAACUCUGGACAGGCGGUGGAAACUACCAAGCUGGAGUACGGUAGGGGCAGAGGGAAUUUCCGGUGGAGCGGUGAAAUGCGUAGAGAUCGGAAAGAACACCAACGGCGAAAGCACUCUACUGGGCCAUAACUGACACUGAGGGACGAAAGCUAGGGGAGCGAAAGGG
rnacentral:rRNA from 1 species